UACGUAGGGUGCGAGCGUUGUCCGGAAUCAUUGGGCGUAAAGAGCUCGUAGGCGGCUUGGCAAGUCGGGUGUGAAACCUCCAGGCUCAACCUGGAGACGCCACUCGAUACUGCCAUGGCUAGAGUCCGGUAGGGGACCACGGAAUUCCUGGUGUAGCGGUGAAAUGCGCAGAUAUCAGGAGGAACACCGGUGGCGAAGGCGGUGGUCUGGGCCGGCACUGACGCUGAGGCGCGAAAGCUAGGGGAGCAAACAGG
rnacentral:rRNA from 1 species